rnacentral:rRNA from 1 species
AGUGGCGGACGGGUGAGUAACGCGUGGAUAACCUGCCUCACACUGGGGGAUAACAGUUAGAAAUGACUGCUAAUACCGCAUAAGCGCACGGCAUCGCAUGAUGCAGUGUGAAAAACUCCGGUGGUGUGAGAUGGAUCCGCGUCUGAUUAGCCAGUUGGCGGGGUAACGGCCCACCAAAGCGACGAUCAGUAGCCGACCUGAGAGGGUGACCGGCCACAUUGGGACUGAGACACGGCCCAAACUCC